rnacentral:lncRNA from 13 species
UUUCAAUGUAAACACUUCCCACCUGUCCCAAAUAUGCAUGCCAUUCUCAAAGACUCUCCAGCAUUGCUUGCAUUUGCAGAACUUUAUUCCCUGCUCCCGCUCCCUGUGCCGCAUCUGUUCCCAUCACAGCUGUGGCCACCCUGUUCUGGCUGCUGACACCGUGGCCCCCCCUUUCCCUCCAAACCACCUCCCCUUCCAAGAUCAAAAUACUCUGUUUUUAUUUAUUUACCCUGCAGCUGUCAGUGUUGUGUCUGGGUCACUGCACUGCAACGUGGACGGAUACAGGACACACGAUAUGUGGAAAAUCCUUAAAACCGCAGUCCCGGUAGUAACCAACAUACAUACCAUCAACAAAUAUAUCCCUUGGCCCCUUCAUUUGAAAACAACAGGUCCAGGUGAUGGAACAAAUGACGUUGGAGGCUGGGCAGUGAAAAGAAGAGAGACCUGCUGAUGAUGAGAGGUGGGAGAGACAUGACUACUCUUUUUCUGGCAACUUGUCUCCUUUUCCACCUGGUGUCGGUUCCUUUCUCAAAAGCAUCCUUUGAGAAGACAUAACCCCUUCCAAAAGGUGCAGGAGGCUGAGAUAUACAUUGAUAUUUAUCUAUUAUUGUUCUGUAGUGUAUGUAAGUGAUGAAAACAGCUACUGACAGCCUAGCAGAUUAGGCAUAAAUAGAUUGCCUGGAACUACAGGUUCACAUCCCAGCAGUAAAAUUUCCAGUCCUUGAGAUGCUGCUAAACUUGUAGCCAGGAGCUUGCUGGGUGUUCAGAGAUUGACAUUAAUGACAUGCUAUGCAAAAGCAUCUCUUCUGGGACAGAAUCUUAUUCCCCCCAGUCCAGCACACGCAGUUCUUGCUGCCUUCCACCCCAGAAGUGGCUGUGUGUCUGAUUCUGGCCAUGUAUACAGCAGUUUGUGAAGCAUGCCAAAACUCUCCAGCACGCAAGGCAUUACAGAAAUGUAAGACAGAAUCUGAGCUAUGACAAGCAGAGUGCACAGCAUCAUAUUCCACUGUGCAGCAGGGGAAAUAGGGAUGCAAAAUAUGUUCUUGAGCUUAAUAAGCCAUUUUGACAAAAUAAGCACUGAGGUGUACUUUUGUCUCCAAAUUUAAACCAAAAUUGGAUCAUAAUGUUUCUCAUAUUGGUCUGUCACAGUUAACUCAUGAAAUUACCCCACUUCCAUUGCCACCAGCUAUUUUUUAGUGUAGGAGUUUAAUUUAUCAUUCCAAUCACUGUAAAC